GAUGAACGCUGGCUGUGUGCCUAAUACAUGCAUGUCGAGCGGAAGUAGCAAUACUUCAGCGGCGAAUGGGUGAGUAACACGUGCUUAAUCUACCUCUUAGAUUGGAAUACCUAAUGGAAACAUUGGUUAAUGCCGGAUACGCAUGGAGUCGCAUGACUCCGUUGUGAAAGGGGCCUUUAAAGCUCCACUAAGAGAUGAGGGUGCGGAACAUUAGCUAGUUGGUGAGGUAACGGCCCACCAAGGCUAUGAUGUUUAGCCGGGUCGAGAGACUGAACGGCCACAUUGGGACUGAGAUACGGCCCAAACUCCUACGGGAGGCAGCAGUAGGGAAUAUUCCACAAUGAGCGAAAGCUUGAUGGAGCGACACAGCGUGCACGAUGAAGGUCUUAUAGAUUGUAAAGUGCUGUUGCAAGGGAAGAAAAAGUAGUUGAGGAAAUGCUUCUACAUUGACGGUACCUUGUUAGAAAGCGAUGGCUAACUAUGUGCCAGCAGCCGCGGUAAUACAUAGGUCGCAAGCGUUAUCCGGAAUUAUUGGGCGUAAAGCGUUCGUAGGCUGUUUAUUAAGUCUGGAGUCAAAUCCCAGGGCUCAACCCUGGCUCGCUUUGGAUACUGGUAAACUAGAGUUGGAUAGAGGUAAGCGGAAUUCCAUGUGAAGCGGUGAAAUGCGUAGAUAUAUGGAAGAACACCAAAGGCGAAGGCAGCUUACUGGGUUUAUACUGACGCUGAGGAACGAAAGCGUGGGGAGCAAACAGG
rnacentral:rRNA from 1 species